rnacentral:lncRNA from 1 species
UUUUUUCGUUAAUCACUAAAGAGGCUUUUUUAGGUCAAUGUUUAAAAAUAGCAAUUUGGCAUGUGGUUAUAAUGUCCUAUGGAACUGGUUCAUACAUAACAGUUGGAUGAUUUUACGAUGACUCUUGCUGGGUAAUUUAUUUUCAAGCAAACAACUUGGCUUUUUGGGUGUGAAACAUGCCCGAGUUUGGAUGGUGGCAAUUGUCAUUAUUCAGCAAAGCACUUUGGGAUACAUAAAGGCAAGGAACAAGACGUCCAUGUGUGUGGUGAUCUUAUUGCUUGGAAGCCUAAAUCUAG